rnacentral:rRNA from 1 species
CGUGCCUAACACAUGCAAGUCGAAACGAGAAAGUGGAGCAAUCCAUGAGUAAAGUGGCGCACGGGUGAGUAACACGUGACUAACNUACCCUUGAGUGGGGGAUAACCUCGGGAAACCGGGGCUAAUACCGCAUAAUACCUACGGGUCAAAGGAGCAAUUCGCUUAAGGAGGGGGUCGCGGCAGAUUAGUUAGUUGGCGGGGUAAUGGCCCACCAAGACGGUGAUCUGUAUCCGGCCUGAGAGGGCGCACGGACACACUGGAACUGAAACACGGUCCAGACUCCUACGGGAGGCAGCAGUGGGGAAUUUUGCGCAAUGGGGGAAACCCUGACGCAGCAACGCCGCGUGGAGGAUGAAGUCCCUUGGGACGUAAACUCCUUUCGAUCGGGGCGAUUAUGACGGUACCGGAAGAAGAAGCCCC